AUUGAACGCUGGCGGCAGGCCUAACACAUGCAAGUCGAGCGGAUGAAGGGAGCUUGCUCCUGGAUUCAGCGGCGGACGGGUGAGUAAUGCCUAGGAAUCUGCCUGGUAGUGGGGGAUAACGUCCUGAAACGGGCGCUAAUACCGCAUACGUCCUGAGGGAGAAAGUGGGGGAUCUUCGGACCUCACGCUAUCAGAUGAGCCUAGGUCGGAUUAGCUAGUUGGUGGGGUAAAGGCCUACCAAGGCGACGAUCCGUAACUGGUCUGAGAGGAUGAUCAGUCACACUGGAACUGAGACACGGUCCAGACUCCUAAGGGAGGCAGCAGUGGGGAAUAUUGGACAAUGGGCGAAAGCCUGAUCCAGCCAUGCCGCGUGUGUGAAGAAGGUCUUCGGAUUGUAAAGCACUUUAAGUUGGGAGGAAGGGCAGUAAGUUAAUACCUUGCUGUUUUGACGUUACCAACAGAAUAAGCACCGGCUAACUUCGUG
rnacentral:rRNA from 1 species